CUCCUCAAUGUUCUGGGCGACACGCGCACUACAAUGUCAGUGAGAACAAGAUUACCGACCUUUUGAUCGGACCCACUUGAUUCAAAAGAGGGGGGAAACACCGGAAUCACAUCGACCCGCUUGGGACCGACGAUUGCAAUUAUUGGUCGCGCAACGAGGAAUGUCUCGUAGGCGCAGCUCAUCAAACUGUGCCGAUUACGUCCCUGCCAUUUGUACACACCGCCCGUCGUUGUUUCCGAUGAUGGUGCAAUACAGGUGAUCGGACAGACGAGCCUCUGGCUUGUUUGAAAGUUCACCGAUAUUUCUUCAAUAGAGGAAGUAAAANUCGUANCA
rnacentral:rRNA from 1 species